ACUUGGUUUUCAGGUCAGCAAGCCACCUUGAAAACUAAAAGUGCAUUUAGACGCAGAGCGCCACUUGCCAUUUCACCUAAACGUCAAGAUGCUGUAGCGGUCGUCUGCCCAAUGCAACAAGAUGAACGCAGUGAACCUGGUGCAUCUGUACCAGGACUUUUAGAUGUUUCAUCACCAGAAAUCUCUUCGCCUGCUCGUUCUAGCAGCAGAUUGCAGGAAGCCAUUGCUGAAAUCCAGGAGGCACAGAAAGCGUAGACGUGAGAGUGUAAGGUGGGAACGUUUAACCCGAUUAAAGCCCUUCUCAUUUGAUGCACGUGAUGCUGCACAGAGAGUUAAGCGUGAAAGGAGACUGCAAGAGAUUCGUCAGAAACAACAUCAGUUGCUGAAAAGGCGUUCCAAAUUUAAAGCUCAUCCCUUGAGAAAAUACAAACCUAUCCCGCCUCCCACACAAGCAAAGGGUGAUAUGGACAACUAAAAUGUCAAAAAAGGUUUUCAGUGUCGUUUUGUCAAUUUUAAGUAUAAAAAUAAAUUAUUG